UUAUGUGAUUUUCCGAUGUGAAAAUUCAGUCUUAUUAUUUUCGUAUUUGAUUCGUACUUUCGUGAUGGCGAAUUUGGUUCUGUUCAUUGUGAUGGAUUUAAAUCAGUUUAAUUGUAAGCGUCAUGAUUUGGAACUGUGAAAUAGUUAACGAAUAUGUGAAAGAAGGGAACCAUCAAAAACUUUGGAACAAGAACGAAAGGGACAGAAAGUUCAGCACGACCAGAAGCAUGGGAUGUGAUUUUUUAAAGUUAUCAAUUAAAGUGAUUGGCUAUGCAAUGUAAUUGAUAAUUAAUUAAAUAAAUGGUGUUUCAAUUCUAAUUAUAUUGUUGAUUCUAUUACAAAA